GGCAGUGCCAUGGAGCACGGCCACACAACUUCGAUGCCGGGGCAGGUGGGCUCGGGCGUUGAACGGCUCCAUGGGAGCAGCAACAUGCGGCGCAUCCAGUCGGGCUUGGGCAGUGCCCCGGCGCCGGACGCACGCGCUGGUUUCCGGCAAGCUGGACAUGGUGAUGGAAGUGUGCCCUAUGUUAAUAGGGUGAGCAUCGGUGAAGCUAGAAGGAGGGAAAAUGUCAACCCCAACAACGAAGAUAACAUUCUGAUGGGGAAUGGUUCAGCUCCAAGAGAGACAACUUGGAAAGGGCUUGUAAGCAAUGACAUCUAUUAUAUUUGGAACCAUGGCCCCAAGUUUGGUGGGGGAUUUGAUUGUCGGUACUGCCCU
rnacentral:rRNA from 1 species